rnacentral:sRNA from 1 species
GAUAAUAGGUUUUUAAGAUCAAUUAAUCCUAAACCACUAUCAUGUCGUUGUAGUAUUGAAGGUUAUCAAUCCAAAUGGGUGUGAUGCUAACAAUCAAGAUGUGAUUAGAAGUCACUAAGUCAAGAGAAGCAGUAAUAAGUUGUGGUGUGUUCUAGCAGUCCUAAGUGAACAUGUAGAAAAUAGAAAAUCAAGCAGAAACAAUAAAAUACUCGACCAACACAGCUCUUUGCAGAGAACUGGGUGAGGUCGAGUAGCAGACAGAAAAUAAAACACAGAUACUUGACUGCACAGUCUGCUGCCAGACAACUGGAUGGUCGAGUAUGAGGUCGAGUAACAAGAAAGAGUUGCAGAAAUUAAGCAACAGAUGACCAAACGCAGUAAACAACAGUAGAGUAAAUAAAAAAUUCAAUCAGAUAAAGAAUUCCCGAGGAUGGGGUAAUUGAGUAGUUUUGUUUCCUCAGUUUACAGGUGACUGACAUGCUCAAUAAAUUAUCCCUAGACAACGAGUUCAUUAACCAAAUCUAAGUGCCACCGCAACAGAGACCCUCAAGUUAACCUAGUCCCAGACUCAAUCACCAUUGACGAGAGCUAACCUAACAGGCAUUACGAAUCAACAAGUUAAAGCCAAAACGCUCCCUGCAACCAAUACCUUGGUACAGGGCCAAGAAUCUCUGGAAUUAGUGGUUCAGACAUUUCAUCCAACACCUUUUGGGCGCGGAAAUGUCUGGGCUCAAAUUCCAGUUGAUCAGAAAGCAAUAGGCAUUAAGAACAACUAAUCCAGAAGGGAUCUAUCAAUCAAUACUCAACCACCUAGCAUACUGAGAAUUCUACACUACUCUAACCCAUCCUGAGAAACCUAUUCACUACUCAGACAUCACAGCAGAAAGCAUAAACGUUUAACAGGAUGAAAACAUGAUAACAACAAUGC